GACGAACGCUGGCGGCGUGCCUAAUACAUGCAAGUCGAACGCUGAAGGAGGAGCUUGCUUCUCUGGAUGAGUUGCGAACGGGUGAGUAACGCGUAGGUAACCUGCCUGGUAGCGGGGGAUAACUAUUGGAAACGAUAGCUAAUACCGCAUAAUAGUAGAUGUUGCAUGACAUUUGCUUAAAAGUUGCAAUUGCAUCACUACCAGAUGGACCUGCGUUGUAUUAGCUAGGUGGUGAGGUAACGGCUCACCAAGGCAACGAUACAUAAACUACCUGAGAGGGUGAUCGGCCACAAUGGGAAUGAGACACGGCCCAGACUCCUACGGGAGGCAGCAGUAGGGAAUCUGCGGCAAUGGACGGAAGUCUGACCGAGCAACGCCGAGGGAGUGAAGAAGGGUUUCGGAUUGGAAAGGUCUGUUGUAAGAGAAGAACGAGUGUGAGAGUGGAAAGUUCACACUGUGACGGUAUCUUACCAAAAAGCAACGGCUAACUACGUG
rnacentral:rRNA from 1 species